UCUCCGUUGGUGAACCAGCGGAGGGAUCAUUGCUGGAACGCGCUUCGGCGCACCCAGAAACCCUUUGUGAACUUACCUUAUUGUUGCCUCGGCGAGCCCCUGGGAUUCGUCCUACGCCCGCCGGUGGCCCCUUUAACUCUGUUACCUAUAAGUAAUCUGAGCGUACUUUAAAAAUAAAGUCAAAACUUUCAACAACGGAUCUCUUGGUUCUGGCAUCGAUGAAGAACGCAGC
rnacentral:misc_RNA from 1 species